UUCACUUAACGAACGCAUACAAUGCCACACCAGGUGUCCUCCCUUCUUCCGUCUGCCUAUGAGAUCAAUCCAGUCUCUCCAGUGUUGUUUGCCUAGUGGAUCUCUUUGGCUGUAAGAAUACAUUUAUGAAAUCAGGUUAGAGAGUGUUUUAAAGCACCCUAACAAGGUAACUGGAGAUAGAAUGAGAACACAUACAAGGAAUUCAGGGAAAUGUGAAAUUUGGGCUAAAUCUGGGUAAAGAUCUAAGAAGGUCCAGGGAAAGAGGUGUGAGAAGAAACCCAGGAUGGGGGAAAAUAGAGUAGAUGGGGUCCUUUAUUUCAGUGAAGAGUAAGUGGUCAGUGAGGAGAGGGGCUGGGCUAGGUCAAGAGAUAAACAAGUCUGAUAGUGAGCUAAUCCACAGCCUGGAACAUGGCUUCUGGAAUUGAACAUGGCUUCUGGAAUUGAACAAAUCCUCAUCUCCAGCAACCACUGCCCACUUGCCCUUUAUAAUCUUCCUACACCAAAAUCAAGCCAUGACCAGGGUGAUAGUCAGGAGACAAAAGCCAAUGGAUGGAAGAUGAGUGCUCUAAAAAUGGCCAAUCCUGGCAACAUGGUGAGGCAAACAGUAGAAAGAAACAACAUGUCUCUCAGAGAGGCAAGGGUUAAAUAAUAGCGUUUUUUUUUUUUUUUUUCAUCGAGCAUUAAUUCCGGUGAGAUAUACCUAAUAGUUAACUGAAUAAGAAGAAUAUGUACUUCAUUUUCCCAUUCCAUAUUUCAAACUGUUCUUUUAUAGUUAGUUAUCUGUGAAAGAUAAAUGAGUUAUCUCAACAUUCCAAAUAACAAACUAUCAAUGAUUAACCAAUUCCUGGAUCCCAGUACUUUACGUUACUAGAAUAGUGGGAUCUCUACACGUUGUCUUUUUCUUUCUGCCAGCACAAAUAAUUCCCAUGUCUUCUUAUCAUCCAGGAGGAUUAAUAUAGAGAAAUCUCACUUCUUCAAAAUGUACAGAUAACUAGCGUAGAACAGUGCUGAAGCCUCGGUGACAAGUCAUGUGCUAUUCUCAUCCCAGGAAAACUAAGAAAGAAAAUGAACAGUCUGAGGUCUGAGAAAGAGUAUAAUAGAAAAUGGCCCGAUUCACAACUAAUCUCCAUGGAGGAAUAGGAUUCCAAUGUACUUGGAUAAGGAAAGUGGAAAAUUGAAUGAGGGGAUGAGGCCACCAAUAUGAUUGGACUUAUGUUUUACUCUGUACUAAUCCUUGCUUCACCGUUGUACUCCAUCCCAGUUGACUGGAGUAAUCCUUGUGUAGCCAUUAGCUGGUUGGAAAAGCCCGACACCCUGCGGUCAUAUAUAGUACUACAGUUGCUUCUCCACUCUGGUGUCCCAGAGGAACUGGCCUGGCUGGAUACAGUACCAUAGAAGGUACUGGAUUUUCUCUGAAUGCCAUCAGGUGACCUGGUUCCCAGCUUCUUUGUACAAUAGCCAUUGCUUUCCGCCUCUUAGUACGGAAUGGGCUUGCAGCAUUAAGAAUCCCUUCAGACGCGCGUUCUCAUCUCCAUGAGGAUGGGGAACAGAGUUCUAGAAAACUAUGCUCUAGGUCCGACUCACUGAGGGACUGCACGAAGAGCAACUUUUAAAUUUUCUUUAUUUAUAGACAUUUCAGAACCAUUUAAAUCAACCAUGAAUUUUUUUAGACAUAACAUACCAUGUUUAUCUUGAGGUACACAUUGGGCCCGUUAGAUAAUGCUCUGGAAAGUAAUACAACUGUUAACUGGUAGUUAACCCCCUCGGUUUUCCAAGCAAA